UUUGGUGGUCACAGCGCGAGGUAAACUCCCGAUCCCAUCCCGAACUCGUCCGAUAAGACCCGUUGCGCCGAUGGUACUGCAGCUUAAGCUGUGGGAGAGUAGGUCACCGCCAAUC
rnacentral:rRNA from 1 species